AUGGUUUCUAGGACGAUGGCCUCUGGACUGACUUCCUUGUGAAGGCUUCAUCAGAAGCUGGUGUCACAGCUUUGAAAAUGGAGUGCAAGAGCAUCUCCAGCCCCAAUUGCUUGAUUUUCAGAUCACCAGUGUGACACCAGCUGGGGUUGAGAAGGGCCUUGGACAGAACCCUGAGGAAAACCAACAUCUAAGCGACAGGCGGAGAAGGAGAACCUGAAGUAGAGACUGAGCAGUGGCCACAUGGGGAAACCAAGAGAUUCUAGCGUCAAGAGAAUGAUCUCAAGGAAACCAAAGAAAGAGUGUUUCAAGACGAGAGCGAUGACCUCAGAGUCUGACGCUGGGAUAAAGUCAAGUCAGAUAAAAUCUGAAAAGUGUUCACUGGUUUGGAGAGGAGAGAAGUACUCCACCCAGAUCCCCUCCAGGGCCCAAAUAUCCAUCCCGCAGCUGCUCCAAAUAUCCGUGGUUGUUGCUUCUCACUUCACCCUCAGUGGGAAUUGCACUCAGCCCCAGGAACUGCCUCAUGCAGAAUCAUACCCUCCCAGCAGGGCGGCCCAUGACCAAAUCCUUCCUAAUGUGAGAACACAAAGGCCCCUUGUCUCAGUUGAGGAUAGUUCUGAAGGACUGUCUCAAUUCCAUUGCUCCCAUAGCAGUGGCUGAGGUCAAUAAAUUUUCUGCUCAUGACUCCUCCUAUGAGUUCCUUUCACGAAGUCCAAUCUAAGACAGCUGGUACCAGAAGUGGACCCACGAAGUGGAUUCUAAAUUGGGAUUUUGGAGAUCACUCUCUCACUGGCCAGCUGGCAGUGAGGACCGUGUCACUGGUAGUAGUUGGAGGAUGGAUAGCCCUCGGCAUGCUGUGAUACUGCAAUUGUUAAAACUUGUACUGAGGGUGAACUAGGAUGGGAUACCAGUGGAAGUGUGUGCUGACUGAUGGAAUGGGUUAAAAUACAUUCUCAAAUUGAGUGGCUAUUGCUGAUCAUCAUUGAAAAGAGAUGGAAAUGGUCUCAGAUGAUAAAUCACCAAAUAAAGACAAAAUGUGGAAGUCAGAGAGCCUCUCAGCAUCCUGGUGAAAAUCCUAAGCUCCUGCAGCCAGAGGGCAGAGAUGAGAGGACCAGGCUCACGGUGUGUUUGUGAGAGUAUAGGAAUGUCAAGAGGGUGAAUUCUCAGCUCUGAAAGUUCUUUUCUACCACGGUGGACCCCAACAGGAAAGGAGGAGGACUCAGAAGGCGCGGCUGCUCUUGAGCACCUUGAACUCCCAGAGUCCCACGAAACCACUGAGCCUGAGGAAGUGGCCCAUUCUGUCUUACCAAGAGGUAGUGGCUGGUCCCUUUUCUUGAAGAUUAUGCAGGUGCCUCACGAUGCAAAGUUUGUCCUCUAUCCUCUACCCCUGCUUCCCCUGUAGGCUACCAUCUUAAGGGUCAAAUCCAAGCUCAGUGGGUAUGUGCUGGGCCUGCUAAGGGAGGAGAGGAACGCACACUAAUGGAGCGGCAGGAUGGGAAUAAUAUGCACUGGCGAAGGCAGGAGAGAAUAUAUAAUCCUGGACCCUGAGGAGCUAGGUCAAGGGGCUCUAACAUAAGAUUGAUGGAGAAAGUUUAUCAAUACGGUGCAAUCUCAUGUGAUACAAGUUGGAUUUUACAAACCCAGCAGGAGAAACUAUCUGAUCCUGGACCAUCUAGUGACUUUGUGGCCAGUUUCCCUCCUGAGCUGUCAUCCCCAUGUCAUGAGCAGUGGGAAGGCCCAGCAGCAAUCCCUUGUAAGACAGAAGUGGUACGUCUGGAAUUGAGCAUGAGCAGAGCCAGGAAGCACCAGUAAACCACGUGAGUACGUGACCCGGAUCCCCCGUCAUCCACCAUGUUAUCUGGCACUUCUCCCUCAGCUCAUCCCACUGCCCCACAGAAAGCCCUUUAGGGCAUCUAUGGAGGAGGAAAAAGGAGGAGCAGGAUGAAUGGGUGGGUCAGCUGGACGGCAGGUGCAAGCUAACACUGGGUGUUUCUGUGCUACGGGUGACUCAGGGCUGGCCCGGAAAGACGCUGGUGAGGAGAAAUCCUCCCCAUGGGGAGAGGUCCCGUUGGUGGACCUGGUCAGCCACUUCGUGUGGAGAGAGAAGUGGCCUGAGAUAAGUGUCACCACCCUGAGACUGAUGCUCCUUUCGUGUUCACCCAAAGUGCCUCCCCUUCUUCAGUGGGCCCCGGCCCUGUACAAGAUAAGGGACCCAGUGGUCCUGUCACAUCACACACAACUCCGAUCCAGUCAGCCUGAUGGAGGUCGAUUGGCCUCAGGAGGAGGCAGGCCAGCUGCUACCCAGCGGGGAGGGAGGAAGGCGUCUGGCCCCCGGGUGAUUCAUGGGCUCUGUGGGCCCCACCAGGCCCGGUUUUAAUGGAGUACAGACAAGUACAGCAGCCGCAGCCUGGGGAUGGCACAGCAACCGGGGGCUCCAGCCCUUCAGGAAUGACAGUGCAGGUUGUCCAACCAGGCAAACAGCCUAGACCAGCAGAGGUGUGAGCUGAGGGAAGGGGAUCUGGAACGGGUGGCGGAGGAGGGAGAUGGGGGAUCAGCUGCAGCUUCCAGAUCAGGAGCAGCACGGACUGUGGUUCAUUCCACCCACCCUUCUCUCAUGAUUUCCCAGCUCUUCCCCAGCUGUUCUCUGCAAACCACCACAGAGGGUGGGCAGCGUGUCCUUAGACACUGGGACUAUAGACAGUGGGGAGCGUGUCCUUAGACACCGGGAGAGCGUCCUCACAUAGAAGCCUGCCCGUCGGCGAUGACCAGCUACAACCUCUUCCAGUAGGGUACAUUGUGCACGUG
ensembl:lncRNA